CCUACACCCUACUAGCCUACACCUUGGUGGCAGCCUGUGUUCUAGUACUCAGGUUAGUACCCUACACCCUACACCCUACUAGCCUACACCUUGGUGGCAGCCUGUGUUCUAGUACUCAGGUUAGUACCCUACAUACUACACCCUACUAGCCUACACCUUGGUGGCAGCCUGUGUUCUAGUACUCAGGUUAGUACCCUACACCCUACACCUUGGUGGCAGCCUGUGUUCUAGUACUCAGGUUAGUACCCUACAUACUACACCCUACUAGCCUACACCUUGGUGGCAGCCUGUGUUCUAGUACUCAGGUAAGUACCCUACAUACUACACCCUACACCCUACUAGCCUACACCUUGGUGGCAGCCUGUGUUCUAGUACUCAGGUUAGUACCCUACAUACUAC
rnacentral:lncRNA from 1 species